rnacentral:tRNA from 1 species
GCCUGGGUGGCUCAGUCGGUUGAGCAGCCGACUUCGGCUCAGGUCAUGAUCUUGCGCGGUCCGUGAGUUCAAGCCCCACAUCAGGCU